UUGUCCGUACUUUGGAGGAAGACUUGCAGAGAACUAGGAAUGAACUUGCUAUGCUCAAGGCGAAGCAGAAGGAAGACGAGAAGGAUAGGAAUUCUUCAUGGACAAGCUUUCUGCAAGAUCAGCUGCUCUUGGUGAUAAGGAACUCGAGGAACUAAAGAUUCAGGAGCAGAGAGGGAAAGCUCCUACAGAGAUGGACAGAGCAAGUUUUAUCAGUUUUAUUCAGAGUUUUACCAGUCUAAGAAGAAGUUGAUUGAGGAGAGAAUGGACUUCGUAGAGAAACUUGCUCGGAGAAAGUAUGACUUGAGCUCAGAUAAAGAUGUGCACGAGGAGUUAAUAAAUAAAAUGGACAUUGGAGAAUUCGUCUAGGAGAGUGAGUUCAGGCAUUGGAGAAUACAGUCUUCUUAUUCAAAGCUACGACAUCGUUACGAGAUAAGCUGAAAGAUAGCACUGGAAAGCCCCUGGCAGAUCAACUACAGAAGAAAACCGAAUAUAUAGGAGCCCUUCAUGAGGAGAAUGAGAAACAUAAGCAGGUCGAGCUUUUUCCCUUUCCAAUAUUUUAACUACAUUUUUCGUUUAAGUCGUGUUCAAGCUAAAAAGUAGUUUUCUUUAGGCUGGUAAUGAC